GUAGCUCAGAUGGGAGAGCGCUGCAAUCGCACUGCAGAGGUCAGGGGUUCGAUUCCCC
rnacentral:tRNA from 1 species